rnacentral:tRNA from 1 species
GGGAUUUAGCUCAGUGGUAGAGCAUUCAUCUAGCACGUACAAGGCCUUGGGUUCAAUCCCCAGUACCA